rnacentral:rRNA from 1 species
UCGGCUUGGCAGCAGUGAAGAAUAUUGGUCAAUGGGCGCAAGCCUGAACCAGCCAUGCCGCGUGAAGGAUGACAGCGCUAUGCGUUGUAAACUUCUUUUGUACAGGAAGAAACACUUCUACGUGUAGAAGCUUGACGGUACUGUACGAAUAAGCAUCGGCUAACUCCGUGCCAGCAGCCGCGGUAAUA